UAUCUCUGUAGAGUCUGCAUAUCAAUAAGCGGAGGAAAAGAAACUAACAAGGAUUCCCUUAGUAACGGCGAGUGAAGCGGGAAGAGCUCAAAUUUGAAAUCUUCAAGGUUCUACCUUGACGAAUUGUAGUUUAAAGAAGUGUUUUCUGUUAGAUGAGUAGCAAAAGUUCCUUGGAAUGGGACAUCAUAGAGGGUGAGAAUCCCGUAUUUGGUUAUUCAUUCUAGCUUUGUGAUACACUUUCAAAGAGUCGGAUUGUUUGGGAAUGCAGUCCAAAAUGGGUGGUAAAUUUCAUCUAAAGCUAAAUAUUGGCGAGAGACCGAUAGCGAACAAGUACCGUGAGGGAAAGAUGAAAAGAACUUUGAAAAGAGAGUUAAACAGUACGUGAAAUUGUCAAAAGGGAAGCGUUUGACACCAGUGUUGUUUUUCCAAAAUCAAUUACGAAUGGCUUGAUUUUGUGUUGUAUUGACCUUAUCAGCUUUCUUCACUUUUUUCGAGUCUUUCUUAAUGCACUUUUCGGUUAACAAGUCAACAUCAAUUUCUUUUGUUGUAAAAGAGUAUUCGGAAGGUGGCUUUCUUUUCGGAGAAAGUGUUUAUAGCCCUAUACUUCUACAAUCGGAGAGAUUGAGGUCUGCAGCGUAGAUCCUUCGGGGUUAGAUACACUUGUGCUAAGUUGUAGCUUUUCAUAGACAACUUGUUGACUAUGUUUAGUCAUGCGGCUUACUCGCUUGUGCUAUUUUACCUACGCUUAGGAUGUUGACUGAUAUGUAGUCGUA
rnacentral:rRNA from 1 species